UACGUAGGUGGCAAGCGUUGUCCGGAUUUACUGGGCGUAAAGAGCGCGCAGGCGGUUGAUUAAGUCGAAUGUGAAAGCCCCCGGCUCAACUGGGGAGGGUCAUUCGAUACUGAUUGACUUGAAGGCAGGAGAGAGAAGUGGAAUUCCCGGUGUAGUGGUGAAAUGCGUAGAGAUCUGGAAGAACACCAAAGGCGAAGGCAGCGUCCUGGGAAGCAUCUGACGCUCAGGUGCGAAAGCUAGGGGAGCGAACGGG
rnacentral:rRNA from 1 species